UUCAUGGUUACUCCACUUCUGCUGAGGACUCAAAACUCACCAGCGGGAUGGAAUCGAUCUUGGAGAAGUUGUUAGCUUCGGUUCAGUGGAACGGCCACACUAAUUUGGAUGAUUGGGAUGAACUAAAAGAGACAUACCGGUUAAUGACUCGAGGGCAGACAGAAAUUUUAAGUCUGCCUGAUCUAAAAAGAAUUUGUUAUUCUGAAUCUGGCUUCCUGU